GAUGAACGCUGGCGGCGUGCUUAACACAUGCAAGUCGAACGAUGAAGCCCAGCUUGCUGGGUGGAUUAGUGGCGAACGGGUGAGUAACACGUGAGUAACCUGCCCUUAACUCUGGGAUAAGCCUGGGAAACUGGGUCUAAUACCGGAUAGGAGCGUCCACCGCAUGGUGGGUGUUGGAAAGAUUUAUCGGUUUUGGAUGGACUCGCGGCCUAUCAGCUUGUUGGUGGGGUAAUGGCUCACCAAGGCGACGACGGGUAGCCGGCCUGAGAGGGUGACCGGCCACACUGGGACUGAGAGACGGCCCAGACUCCUACGGGAGGCAGCAGUGGGGAAUAUUGCACAAUGGGCGGAAGCCUGAUGCAGCGACGCCGCGGGCGGGAUGACGGCCUUCGGGUUGUAAACCUCUUUCAGAGGGGAAGAAGCGAGAGUGACGGUACCUGGAAAAGAAGCACCGGCUAACUACGUG
rnacentral:rRNA from 1 species